GACGAACGCUGGCGGCGUGCCUAACACAUGCAAGUCGUGCGAGAAAGUUCCUUCGGGAGCGAGUAAAGCGGCGCACGGGUGAGUAACACGUAGGUAACCUGCCCCCCAGUCUGGAACAACUAGAGGAAACUCUAGCUAAUGCCGGAUGAGACCACGAUCCCUUCGGGGGUUGCGGCCAAAGAUGGCCUCUACUUGUAAGCUAUCGCUGAGGGAUGGGCCUGCGGGCCAUUAGCUUGUUGGUGAGGUAACGGCUCACCAAGGCUGUGAUGGCUAGCUGGUCUGAGAGGAUGACCAGCCACACUGGGACUGAGACACGGCCCAGACUCCUACGGGAGGCAGCAGUGGGGAAUAUUGCGCAAUGGGCGAAAGCCUGACGCAGCGACGCCGCGUGGGUGAUGAAGGCCU
rnacentral:rRNA from 1 species